CCAGGUGCAUAUUUUUCACUGCACCAUGAGGAUCUCACUAGCUGUACAUCUUGAUGCAGCUUUGUACAGACGAUUGCAGAAUUUGCAAAUCCUUUUCCUCCUCCCUCAUAACUGUUCAUGAGGUUUUGACUUCUUCAGCAAGCCUUGCUGCCAUGGUUUUCCUUUUAGUGGUUUGGAUGCUGAGGCUAGCAUUAGUGCCAGUGCCAUAUUGUUUGUUUUCAGCAGCACUGCUGGAGUAUUUAACUUUUUUCCGAGAUGGGUCUACUAUCCUGAGUUGGUAGUCUGUAGUGUAUGAAGCCUGCCUCCAGCUCUCUUAGGAAAGCUGUGGGGUUCUGUGGGUACUGGACUGCUGCUCCUGUAUCAGCUUCAUUGCUGGCUUCCUUUCUGUGACCAUGAAGAAGUCAUUUUGGAUGCAGUUUUCAAAAGCUCUGCUGAAAUUUGAUGGGAGCAAGGAGCUUUGAAGCGGAUCAGUACCCAGCCACAGCACGAGACAGCUUUUCUCUGGCACUGGCUAGAAGUCAUCAGGACUGGGGAUCCUCUGACUUUCUGAGAGGCAUGAAUUGACCUCCUGCCUUUCAUCAGCCUCCCUAGAUAGCUUCCUGAAAAUUUACACUGUUUCAGGAUACAAGAGAGAUCCUACAUGAAGCAAUCGUAAACUGGAUUUUGGCACCAUUUACUUGUUUCUCCAAAGCAAUAAAAAAGAAACUCGAGGUUCACCUGAACUACUGAAUUUAAGAAAAAAGUGUCACCCAGAGAAGAAUGUGACACAACAGUAAUGUGAUACAGUCCCAAAGGGAAGCUGGAUGCUUUCACUCUGAGCACCCUCAUGAGAGCCACACACACCGGAAAACAUUACCCAACACUUAGCACCAUCAGCAUGAUAAGAGGGCAGCCCUUGGGGGAAGGAGGUAAGGACAGGAAGAGGGUUAAUAUAAUGAGCUGGAUGAUGAGGAAAACAAUGAUCUCAGUGGUGGGAAAAAAAUAUAUGCAUAUUCCUCCCUAUGAAAUAAUAUCAGACAUAGGAUAAAUGGAAAGUGAUCAUUUAGCUUCUGCCAGAUAGUGGUUUGUCAGGCCAAGAUCCUAUAUUAUUUUCUUUGAAUAAGUUUCCUGCCUCAAAUCAUUUGCAGUAUUUUCUUUAAAAUAUGAUAGCAACUCUAAAAUGGGUAUGUAUCAUUGCUUUACAUUGGAAGGCCUGUGUUAUAUGAGCUAUACUUCCAUGAGUUAACUGGGACUUUCCUUCUACUUAAUCUGUGAGGAGCUGUUAUAUGCAGCUCAUUUUAUUUCCCUUUUGAUUGGCUAUAUCAUACACUGCCGUUAUCAUGGCAACCUUUAACAGGACAAAAAUUGGAAAUAAUUUUUUCACAGGGUGUGAUGACUAUGUCCUUGGAUGUCUGAGCAGGGAUCUGGGUCAUUGCUGGGUACGAAGUUGCACAGAUGUGAAUGACUUCAUCUAGAGUCCACUAGGGAUUUUUUUGCCUCUUGCAAAUUACUGUUCAAUCAGUGAAAAAAUACAGACAACUCUUGUUCUGGGAGCUUCACUGCUGAACUCCAGCAGGCAAAUACAAGAGGGGGAUAAGCUUUUGCAGGACCAUAGUGAGAAAGAUAAAAAAUAGCCCCAGUACACCGCUUUAGCACUGUAUUAGAGACUCCCUUACCUACUCGAAGCUCUUGUCCAAAAACUGUUUUCUCUCCCAGCGCAGAGCAGUUCCACCUCCCAUACCGAAACUGGUACUGGCACUCAUUGAUUCCCAUUUGUGCCCCUUCUCCGAUCACAAUGAUGGCAUCAGGGCGGCUCUGGCAGAUUGCUCGCUGCCGAGGGGCCAAGCCUGGGAUUUUGUUGCAGAUGAUAUUAGCUCCUAAAGCCACCACAGAUGACAAAGCUCUGAAGAAAAGCAGAAAGACACAUUAGAAUCAGAUAGAGGCGAUUCAUAGCUUUUGCUGAAUGCUGCAGUGUGGCAGGCAAGGCGCUAAGUAAAUGAGGAAAGGUUGGAGGUUGUGUUCCUAUAAUUACACAGACUUAUCCCAACCUCUCUGGUCUGGCACAUGGAUUUGGAAAUAUUGCAGUAAUUCCUAAUCUGAUUUGUGCCAGAAGCACCACACAAGUGGAAUUUUGGCACUUUUCAUUUCAGUCCUGUGCAGUGCCACCAGCUGCUGCUAAGUGGAAACUAAGUCAUACUGAAAAGCAGAAAAUAGUGCUAAUUGAUUGUCUGUGAAUCUUUGAAGCUCAUGUCUGCUUUGAAUGGCCUACACAGAUUCAGGCUCUGCACUUUAAUUGCUACAGCCAGUUCAAGCAUUCCUCAUGUGAAACUAUUGAACACAAUUUAAAGGAUGAAUUGACACAGUCAGCCCUCCUGCUCAUUAUUACACUCAAGUUCCUGAUCAAUUAAUGAAAGUUCACUAGCAUAACUGAACUUUUAGACCUGGCAAAUAUCAUGGAGCACAUACAAGUGAUCAUACUAAGGUAUGUGCCAUCCAGACCAGAAACAUUUGCAGUUCCCAUUCUUCAAGUAUAUUUUCAGAAUUUGUUAUAAAGUGUGCAUGUAACUUGCACCUACCAUAUGUUUUCACUUUAGUACAUUUAUUUUUCGUUUUUCAGCCUAUUUUUCAGCAUCUUUCCAGGCUCAUUUCUCAACAUCUUCACAGACUGCAUUUUAAGCAGUAAUAUUUUGGAAAAAUGAGACAACAUGAGUACAUAUUCACGGAUGUCUCAGGACACAUCUAUCCUGAGUACUACCUGUGCUCAAGUGGCACUGGACAAGCCAGCAGAAUAGUUCUGUUAGCAAAACAGUCCUUUUUCAAUACAUUGUACUGGACUACAUGACAGCUACACAGUUUAGAAGGCUUCAGUCCAUUUUCAGAAAAUGCUCUUCAACGUCCAAGUCAAUGAAGCACUUUUGAAAAUGCCUUCUAAAUAACGCACACUACCAAAAGGGAAGAUCUUGAGGCAUCCUGCCCCAAAAAUGAUGCCUGUGGGCAUUGUUUCUGAUCCCCAUCCUUGAUCAGCUGUAUAGACAUCACAGAGCUUAAAACAGGCUCUGCUGCACAAACCAACCGGCUGUCAGGAAUCGCAGAAAGUACUCUGAUUCUUGAUAACUGCAGAGAAGUAGCUCAAUGAACCCUCGUCUCUCCUCCUAAAACUGGGCCAUACAGAUAGUUUCAUUUUCCCAUCCUGUUAGUAAUAGUGUACAGAGUAAUUUCCCCAUUCCUUUCCUCUCCAUCUUGAACAAUCACUUAUGCCUCUGUUCUCAGUAUUAAAAAAUUUCCCACUGGAUGGAUAUGGUCUUUUUGGAAAAUGCUGACUAAACAAAAGUAAAGCAUUUUGUAGGAAUUUAUACUCUUCAUCUCAAAGGUAACCAAAAAAUUACAUAAAUGUUGCAUUUAAACAAAAUCAGAGUGUUUCAUUUUGCUAUUUCAAUAAACUACAGUAAAGCCAGAGCAAAAAGGAUGGAGAACUCUUCCCUAGUCAAAUUGAAAUACCAAUUUUACUGUGAGAUGGAAAUUCUAUGAUGAUUCAUUCUGCUUUUAAUGGUAUUGGUGCAUCUCUUCUGAAGUUAAAAAUCUCUAAGAAACUUGACAGUUGUAAGUUUUUAUUUAUGGCUUGUGACUUUAUAGAUAUGGAGACAAGGUAUUGCUAACAUAGAGCAUGCAUGCCAUGUGGUACUAUCUAUUAAAAAAAAUAAGAACAAAAUGUAGUUGCAGAUCUGACAACUCACAGUGUCUGGGACAUGAACACUCAGACCUUUCUCAUUCAGACUCAGUAGCUUUCAUUCAUGGUACUUGAGUACUGAGCAACAAAGCAUCAGCUGGAAUCAGUGACUUCCCAGGAUUCAUGCAGAUUUAGAGCUGAGAUUUUGUUUCUCACCCACCUCUACUGAACAACUGAAUAAAAUAAAAUGAUGAUGCCUUUAAAUCAAGACUAUGCAAGAGAAAUAAAAAUGUACAAAAAAUAUUAUGAACUUCAUGUAGUAACAUUUUCUGACCUCUGCAAUGCCACUUUAGAUAGGAAUAUAGGGAGAUACUGAAAACCACAAGGGAAAGUACCAUUCUGAUCAUUUAUCAUAGAAUCAUAGAAUCACCAAGGUUGGUAAAAACCUCCAUGGUCUUCUAGUCCAACCAUCCACCUAACAUCAAUAUUUCCCCACUAAAUCAUACCCUUUAGUACAACAUCUAUACAUUUCUUGAACACCUCCAGGGAUGGAAACUCCUUCACAUCUCUGGGC